GUGCCAGCAGCCGCGGUAAUACGUAGGGGGCAAGCGUUGUCCGGAUUUAUUGGGCGUAAAGCGCACGCAGGCGGUGCAGUAAGUUCUGAGUGACAGGUGGUGGCUUAACUGCCACAGGCCUUGGAAAACUGCUGGACUUGAGGGCUUGAGAGGGACGCGGAAUUCCAGGUGGAGCGGUGAAAUGCGUAGAGAUCUGGAAGAACACCAAAGGCGAAGGCAGCGUCCUGGCGAGCAACUGACGCUAAUGUGCGAAAGCUAGGGGAGCGAACGGGAUUAGAUACCCCCGUAGUCC
rnacentral:rRNA from 1 species